GACGAACGCUGGCGGCGUGCCUAAUACAUGCAAGUAGAACGCACAGUUUAUACCGUAGCUUGCUACACCAUAGACUGUGAGUUGCGAACGGGUGAGUAACGCGUAGGUAACCUGCCUGGUAGCGGGGGAUAACUAUUGGAAACGAUAGCUAAUACCGCAUAAUAUUAAUUAUUGCAUGAUAAUUAAUUGAAAGGUGCAAUUGCACCACUACCAGAUGGACCUGCGUUGUAUUAACUAGUAGGUGAGGUAACGGCUCACCUAGGCGACGAUACAUAGCCGACCUGAGAGGGUGAUCGGCCACACUGGGACUGAGACACGGCCCAGACUCCUACGGGAGGCAGCAGUAGGGAAUCUUCGGCAAUGGACGAAAGUCUGACCGAGCAACGCCGCGUGAGUGAAGAAGGUUUUCGGAUCGUAAAGCUCUGUUGUAAGAGAAGAACGGGUGUGAGAGUGGAAAGUUCACACUGUGACGGUAUCUUACCAGAAAGGGACGGCUAACUACGUG
rnacentral:rRNA from 1 species